rnacentral:ncRNA from 1 species
UUUCCGAGCUUUUAUACCUAAGACAUUAUUGUGUUAUGGUAUGAAGCCAAUGGGCAUGAUUCGGAAACGAAUAUGCCUCCCAUAUUGGAAAGGAAGG